rnacentral:rRNA from 1 species
GAUGAACGCUGGCGGCGUGCCUAAUACAUGCCAGUCGAGCGAACAGACGAGGAGCUUGCUCCUCUGACGUUAGCGGCGGACGGGUGAGUAACACGUGGAUAACCUACCUAUAAGACUGGGAUAACUUCGGGAAACCGGAGCUAAUACCGGAUAAUAUAUUGAACCGCAUGGUUCAAUAGUGAAAGACGGUUUUGCUGUCACUUAUAGAUGGAUCCGCGCCGCAUUAGCUAGUUGGUAAGGUAACGGCUUACCAAGGCGACGAUGCGUAGCCGACCUGAGAGGGUGAUCGGCCACACUGGAACUGAGACACGGUCCAGACUCCUACGGGAGGCAGCAGUAGGGAAUCUUCCGCAAUGGGCGAAAGCCUGACGGAGCAACGCCGCGUGAGUGAUGAAGGUCUUCGGAUCGUAAAACUCUGUUAUUAGGGAAGAACAAAUGUGUAAGUAACUAUGCACGUCUUGACGGUACCUAAUCAGAAGGCCACGGCUAACUACGUG